rnacentral:rRNA from 1 species
AUAACUCCGGGAAACGGAGCUAAUACCGGAUAACAUUUCGAACCGCAUGGUCAAAAUGAAAGAUGGUUUCGGCUAUCACUUACGAUGGACCCCGGCGCAUUAGCUAGUUGGUGAGGUAACGGCUCACCAAGGCAACGAUGCGUAUCCGACCUGAGAGGGUGAUCGGGCACACUGGGACUGAGACACGGGCCAGACUCCUACGGGAGGCAGCAGUAGGGAAUCUUCCGCAAUGGACGAAAGUCUGACGGAGCAACGCCGCGUGAACGAUGAAGGCCUUCGGGUCGUAAAGUUCUGUUGUUAGGGAAGAACAAGUACCAGAGUAACUGCUGGUACCUUGACGGUACCUAACCAGAAAGCCACGGCUAACUACGUGCCAGCAGCCGCGGUAAUACGUAGGUGGCAAGCGUUGUCCGGAAUUAUUGGGCGUAAAGCGCGCGCAGGCGGUUUCUUAAGUCUGAUGUGAAAGCCCACGGCUCAACCGUGGAGGGUCAUUGGAAACUGGGGAACUUGAGUGCAGAAGAGGAGAGUGGAAUUCCACGUGUAGCGGUGAAAUGCGUAGAGAUGUGGAGGAACACCAGUGGCGAAGGCGACUCUCUGGUCUGUAACUGACGCUGAGGCGCGAAAGCGUGGGGAGCGAACAGGAUUAGAUACCCUGGUAGUCCACGCCGUAAACGAUGAGUGCUAAGUGUUAGAGGGUUUCCGCCCUUUAGUGCUGCAGCAAACGCAUUAAGCACUCCGCCUGGGGAGUACGGUCGCAAGACUGAAACUCAAAGGAAUUGACGGGGGCCCGCACAAGCGGUGGAGCAUGUGGUUUAAUUCGAAGCAACGCGAAGAACCUUACCAG